rnacentral:rRNA from 1 species
UACGAAGGGGGCUAGCGUUGCUCGGAAUCACUGGGCGUAAAGGGUGCGUAGGCGGGUCUUUAAGUCAGGGGUGAAAUCCUGGAGCUCAACUCCAGAACUGCCUUUGAUACUGAAGAUCUUGAGUUCGGGAGAGGUGAGUGGAACUGCGAGUGUAAGAGGUGAAAUUCGUAGAUUAUUCGCAAGAACACCAGUGGCGAAGG